GCUGGAGGUAUCAGAAGUGCGAAUGCUGACAUAAGUAACGAUAAAGCGGGUGAAAAGCCCGCUCGCCGGAAGACCAAGGGUUCCUGUCCAACGUUAAUCGGGGCAGGGUGAGUCGACCCCUAAGGCGAGGCCGAAAGGCGUAGUCGAUGGGAAACGGGUUAAUAUUCCCGUACUUGGUGUUACUGCGAAGGGGGGACGGAGAAGGCUAUGUUGGCCGGGCGACGGUUGUCCCGGUUUAAGCGUGUAGGUGUGUGUUCCAGGUAAAUCCGGUUCACUUUAACACUGAGGCGUGACGACGAGGCACUACGGUGCUGAAGCAACAAAUGCCCUGCUUCCAGGAAAAGCCUCUAAGCAUCAGGUAACAUCAAAUCGUACCCCAAACCGACACAGGUGGUCAGGUAGAGAAUACCAAGGCGCUUGAGAGAACUCGGGUGAAGGAACUAGGCAAAAUGGUGCCGUAACUUCGGGAGAAGGCACGCUGACACGUAGGUGAAGUGAUUUACUCAUGGAGCUGAAGUCAGUCGAAGAUACCAGCUGGCUGCAACUGUUUAUUAAAAACACAGCACUGUGCAAACACGAAAGUGGACGUAUACGGUGUGACGCCUGCCCGGUGCCGGAAGGUUAAUUGAUGGGGUCAGCGCAAGCGAAGCUCCUGAUCGAAGCCCCGGUAAACGGCGGCCGUAACUAUAACGGUCCUAAGGUAGCGAAAUUCCUUGUCGGGUAAGUUCCGACCUGCACGAAUGGCGUAAUGAUGGCCAGGCUGUCUCCACCCGAGACUCAGUGAAAUUGAACUCGCUGUGAAGAUGCAGUGUACCCGCGGCAAGACGGAAAGACCCCGUGAACCUUUACUAUAGCUUGACACUGAACAUUGAGCCUUGAUGUGUAGGAUAGGUGGGAGGCUUUGAAGCGUGGACGCCAGUCUGCGUGGAGCCGACCUUGAAAUACCACCCUUUAAUGUUUGAUGUUCUAACGUGGACCCGUGAUCCGGGUUGCGGACAGUGUCUGGUGGGUAGUUUGACUGGGGCGGUCUCCUCCUAAAGAGUAACGGAGGAGCACGAAGGUUGGCUAAUCCUGGUCGGACAUCAGGAGGUUAGUGCAAUGGCAUAAGCCAGCUUGACUGCGAGCGUGACGGCGCGAGCAGGUGCGAAAGCAGGUCAUAGUGAUCCGGUGGUUCUGAAUGGAAGGGCCAUCGCUCAACGGAUAAAAGGUACUCCGGGGAUAACAGGCUGAUACCGCCCAAGAGUUCAUAUCGACGGCGGUGUUUGGCACCUCGAUGUCGGCUCAUCACAUCCUGGGGCUGAAGUAGGUCCCAAGGGUAUGGCUGUUCGCCAUUUAAAGUGGUACGCGAGCUGGGUUUAGAACGUCGUGAGACAGUUCGGUCCCUAUCUGCCGUGGGCGCUGGAGAACUGAGGGGGGCUGCUCCUAGUACGAGAGGACCGGAGUGGACGCAUCACUGGUGUUCGGGUUGUCAUGCCAAUGGCACUGCCCGGUAGCUACAUGCGGAAGAGAUAAGUGCUGAAAGCAUCUAAGCACGAAACUUGCCCCGAGAUGAGUUCUCCCUGAGACUUUAGGUCUCCUGAAGGAACGUUGAAGACGACGACGUUGAUAGGCCGGGUGUGUAAGCG
rnacentral:rRNA from 1 species